UGGACAUAUUAUUGUAUUCGAUUGUAUUCACGACGUGAAAUAGGGGAUUACACUGUUUUUAAAACGGAAAGUGAAUCAAUUAACAUAAUAGACUCCU
rnacentral:pre_miRNA from 1 species